GCUGUAUAUCAAGCCCGGCUGCUACGCUUUUUCAAGAAAUGUACUCUGACAGCCCCAAUGACUUUACUGAUGAAGACGAUUUGAGCCUCCCCAGCACAUCAGAAGGUGCGGCAUCUGCUGCUGGCUCUUCAGGGUAAGUCAGUGUUCACUUCCUUGUGUCGGAAUAUGACACCAUAACAAACAUUUUUUUGAGGCAGGUUGUCAACUUCAUAAGCAGGAGCCGCUGCCCCAGAUCCAGGGUCUGCCAAAAGGCGAGCAUCCAAUGGACCUUCCUCUCGGACCAAAAGAAGGCAGUCUGACAGCUUCGACGAAGCGGUGAAAGAGGUCUUGGGCAGCUGCUCAGCUACGCUGUUAGAACUAAAAAAAAAAAAAGAAAUGCCUGCACCGACAGAUGACCGUCACGAGGCAGUAAACUGGAUAGCUGCUAAGCUGAGGAUGCUACCAAAUAAAAGAAGAUGCAAGGUAACAUUCAAAAUCCACAAGGUGCUGUAUGAAGCCGAAAUGGAGCAGUAUGAAUAAAUGAAAUGUAAAGUGCAAGCAAUCGAUAAUAUUGUUCUAUGAAACGCAAGCAAUUUCGGCUUUCUUUUGACACGAUAGUGUUUGUGCAUGCUGA